UACGCGUAGGUAAUCUACCUCUGCAUCUGGGAUAACACUUCGAAAGGGGUGCUAAUACCGGAUACACUUAUCAAUCGCAAGGUUGAUAAGGAAAGGAGACGAUCCGCAAGGAGUUUCUGUGUAGAGAUGAGCCUGCGUCCCAUUAGCUAGUUGGCAGGGUAAAGGCCUACCAAGGCGACGAUGGGUAGCGGGUCUGANAGGAUGAUCCGCCACACUGGAACUGAAACACGGACCAGACUCCUACGGGAGGCAGCAGUGAGGAAUAUUGGACAAUGGGCGCAAGCCUGAUCCAGCGACGCCGCGUGAGUGAUGAAGGCCUUUGGGUCGUAAAGCUCUGUCAGCAGGGAAGAACGGCCGUGUGGUUAAUACCCAUGCGGAUUGACGGUACCUGCAGAGGAAGCACCGGCUAACUCCGUGCCAGCAGCCGCGGUAAUACGGAGGGUGCGAGCGUUAAUCGGAAUUACUGGGCGUAAAGGGCGCGUAGGCGGCUGAUCAAGUCANAUGUGGAAGCCCACGGCU
rnacentral:rRNA from 1 species